UACGUAGGGCGCAAGCGUUGUCCGGAAUCAUUGGGCGUAAAGCGCGUGUAGGCGGCUGAGUAAGUCUGCUGUGAAAGUCCAGGCUCAACCCUGGGAUGCGGCAGAUACUGCUUGGCUAGAGUACGGGAGGGCGAGUGGAAUUCCUGGUGUAGCGGUGGAAUGCGCAGAUAUCAGGAGGAACACCCUAUGGCGAAGGCAGCUCGCUGGAACGUUACUGACGCUGAGACGCGAAAGCGUGGGAGCAAACAGGAUU
rnacentral:rRNA from 1 species